rnacentral:rRNA from 1 species
GAAAGUUUGUGGCUCAACCAUAAAAUUGCCAUUGAAACUGGGAGACUUGAGUAUGUUUGAGGUAGGCGGAAUGCGUGGUGUAGCGGUGAAAUGCAUAGAUAUCACGCAGAACUCCGAUUGCGAAGGCAGCUUGCCAAGCCAUAACUGACACUGAAGCACGAAAGCGUGGGUAUCAAACAGGAUUAGAUACCCUGGUAGUCCACGCAGUAAACGAUGAUUACUAGGAGUUUGCGAUAAAAUGUAAGCUCUACAGCGAAAGCGUUAAGUAAUCCACCUGGGGAGUACGCCGGCAACGGUGAAACUCAAAGGAAUUGACGGGGGCCCGCACAAGCGGAGGAACAUGUGGUUUAAUUCGAUGAUACGCGAGGAACCUUACCCGGGUUUGAACGCAGUCCGACCGCCGAUGAAAGUCGGCUUCUAGCAAUAGCGGAUUGCGAGGUGCUGCAUGGUUGUCGUCAGCUCGUGCCGUGAGGUGUCGGCUUAAGUGCCAUAACGAGCGCAACCCUUGCCGUUAGUUACUAACAAGUUAUGUUGAGGACUCUAGCGGGACUGCCAGCGUAAGCUGUGAGGAAGGCGGGGAUGACGUCAAAUCAGCACGGCCCUUACAUCCGGAGCGACACACGUGUUACAAUGGCGUGGACAAAGAGCAGCCACUUGGCGACAAGGAGCUAAUCUCCAAACCACGUCUCAGUUCGGAUCGGAGUCUGCAACUCGACUCCGUGAAGCUGAAUUCGCUAGUAAUCGCGCAUCAGCCAUGGCGCGGUGAAUACGUUCCCGGGCCUUGUACACACCGCCCGUCAAGCCAUGGGAGCCGGGGGUACCUGAAGUCCGUAACCGCGAGGAUCGGCCUAGGGUAAAACUGGUGACUGGGGCUAAGUCGUAACAAGGUAACCA